GAUGAACGCUGGCGGCGUGCUUAACACAUGCAAGUCGAACGAGAAUCUAUGGAUAGAGGAUUCGUCCAAUUGAAGUAGAGGAAAGUGGCGGACGGGUGAGUAACGCGUGAGGAACCUGCCUAGGAGUGGGGAAUAACAGUCCGAAAGGACUGCUAAUACCGCAUAAUGCAGUUAGGUCGCAUGGCUCUGACUGCCAAAGAUUUAUCGCUCUUAGAUGGCCUCGCGUCUGAUUAGCUAGUUGGUAGGGUAACGGCCUACCAAGGCGACGAUCAGUAGCCGGACUGAGAGGUUGGCCGGCCACAUUGGGACUGAGACACGGCCCAGACUCCUACGAGAGGCAGCAGUGGGGAAUAUUGGGCAAUGGGCGCAAGCCUGACCCAGCAACGCCGCGUGAAGGAAGAAGGCUUUCGGUAUGUAAACUUCGAAAGAAUGGGAAGAAUAAAUGACGGUACCAUUUAUAAGGUCCGGCUAACUACGUGCCAGCCGCCGCGGUAACAC
rnacentral:rRNA from 1 species